rnacentral:rRNA from 1 species
GACGAACGCUGGCGGCGUGCUUAACACAUGCAAGUCGAACGGAAAGGCCCUGCUUUUGUGGGGUGCUCGAGUGGCGAACGGGUGAGUAACACGUGAGUAACCUGCCCUUGACUUUGGGAUAACUUCAGGAAACUGGGGCUAAUACCGGAUAGGAGCUCCUGCCGCAUGGUGGGGGUUGGAAAGUUUCGGCGGUUGGGGAUGGACUCGCGGCUUAUCAGCUUGUUGGUGGGGUAGUGGCUUACCAAGGCUUUGACGGGUAGCCGGCCUGGGAGGGUGACCGGCCACAUUGGGACUGAGAUACGGCCCAGACUCCUACGGGAGGCAGCAGUGGGGAAUAUUGCACAAUGGGCGGAAGCCUGAUGCAGCAACGCCGCGUGCGGGAUGACGGCCUUCGGGUUGUAAACCGCUUUCGCCUGUGACGAAGCGUGAGUGACGGUAAUGGGUAAAGAAGCACCGGCUAACUACGUG